GGCAAUGUGGCUUAGUGGUAGAGUGCUUGCCUAGCAUGCAUGAAUUCCUGGGUUCAAUUCCUCAGUACCA
rnacentral:tRNA from 1 species